UUUACACAACCCCAUAUUUGUUUUAUGUCAGGAUCUAGGGUGCGCAAAGCAGGAGAGAGCCAGAAUGCACGACACUGAGGGCAAAGAUAUAGUUCCAGGGUUUUUAAUCCAAGGCAACAAGCAAGACAAAAAUCACAGGCAGUGGAAACUGGCAACAUCAAAAAAGCAGAACAGCAAUCAAACCGUGGAGAGCCAGAGCUGGUUUCAGCACCAAAGGGAUUAAAGAGCGUCCAAUUUAAGUUUUAGUAUUCUCCUGUCAUGGCCAAAGUGUAGGAGUGAUGGAGGAGGCUGCGAGUCUCCUUAGAGUUGAAUCAUCCGAAGCUUGUCCCAACUGUGUGCUCCGACUGCUCUUCACUUCGCCCCUUUGCUGACUCCACGAGGAGACUUUAAUUGCUCAGUGUCAUGGACUCUCUCAGGGAUCGCAGUUGAAAAUUAGCCAAGAAGGCUAAACUGGCACAUGUACAGAAAUGUCUAUUAAUGUGCACUGUCAAUGUAACUUUAAACUGUAGAAAGAAAAAUAAAAUGUUGGAUGUA